rnacentral:rRNA from 1 species
CGGGGUGCAGCAGGCGCGAAAACUUUACAAUGCGGGAAACCGUGAUAAGGGGACACCGAGUGCCAGCAUCAUAUGCUGGCUGUCCGGGUGUGUAAAAUACACCCGUUAGCAAGGGCCGGGCAAGACCGGUGCCAGCCGCCGCGGUAACACCGGCGGCCCGAGUGGUGAUCGUGAUUAUUGGGUCUAAAGGGUCCGUAGCCGGUUUGGUCAGUCCUCCGGGAAAUCUGACGGCUCAACCGUUAGGCUUUCGGGGGAUACUGCCAGGCUUGGAACCGGGAGAGGUAAGAGGUACUACAGGGGUAGGAGUGAAAUCUUGUAAUCCCUGUGAGACCACCUGUGGCGAAGGCGUCUUACCAGAACGGGUUCGACGGUGAGGGACGAAAGCUGGGGGCACGAACCGGAUUAGAUACCCGGGUAGUCCCAGCCGUAAACGAUGCUCGCUAGGUGUCAGGCAUGGCGCGACCGUGUCUGGUGCCGCAGGGAAGCCGUGAAGCGAGCCACCUGGGAAGUACGGCCGCAAGGCUGAAACUUAAAGGAAUUGGCGGGGGAGCACAAGGGCGAAUUCGC